AACGAACGCUGGCGGCAUGCCUAACACAUGCAAGUCGAACGCCCCGCAAGGGGAGUGGCGCACGGGUGAGGAAUAUAUGGGAAUCUGCCUUGGAGUGGGGGAUAACUGGGGGAAACUUCAGCUAAUACCGCAUACGCCCUACGGGGGAAAGAUUUAUUGCUCUAAGAGGGGCCCAUAUGAGAUUAGCUAGUUGGUGAGGUAACGGCUUACCAAGGCAACGAUCUCUAGCUGGUCUGAGAGGAUGAUCAGCCACACUGGGACUGAGACACGGCCCAGACUCCUACGGGAGGCAGCAGUGGGGAAUAUUGGACAAUGGGGGAAACCCUGAUCCAGCGAUGCCGCGUGAGUGAUGAAGGCCUUCGGGUUGUAAAGCUCUUUCGGUCACGACGAUGAUGACGGUAGUGACAGAAGAAGCCCCGGCUAACUUCGUGCCAGCCGCCGCGGUAAAAC
rnacentral:rRNA from 1 species